AACCAGUAGCAGCUGUUGAGCUCAGAUUUGGGUCUUCAGUCUCUGUGUGAGUGAUGCUGGUGGUGCCCUAGGUGGUCAUGGCACUGAAGGGGCUGCUUUGUGUUCUUUUUCUUUCCACUUCUAUUGCUUCUGGGCAGUGCCUUGACUCAGCAAUUGGCUGUCUGUUAGAUCUUCGCAGUGUAGUUGGUUCUUUGUGAAUAACUGAGUGGAGGGCAGAGAAUGUAGAGGCUGGUAUCAGCCACGUUCUGCUGUGCAAGGUGCUGUGAGGCAUGUUCUUCCUGGACUGCUGUAGGAUUGCUGGAGAGAAUUCUGUAACCCAUCCACCAGAUCAGUUUGAGAAGGAAAUGCAUUUACUGUACACUGGAGAAGCUGGAUGAAGAAGAGAUGUGGAAAAAGCCAGAAGACAACUAAGUCUGGAGCUUCAGCUGGGAGAGCAAGGCUAGACCUUGAGAACAGCAAAGGAAAUUUGAAAAGGGCUGAAUGUCCUUGGAACUGUUUCCCCUGUGGAGGAUGGAAGAACUGAGGGUGGCAACAUUGGGUAGAGAGAGCAUCGUGAACUGAGCAACAGAACCAGAGGCACUGAAGACGGAUUAUUUCAUGCUGGUUAGAGUGUACCUUUGGGAUGGCAUCCAGUUUAGGAAGGUUUGAAGGAUCAUGAAGGAUUCUUUCAGACAGGACAGAAAAAGUGUGAAAGUGAGAAGUGAAAUAUGUGAAACUGCCUUAGGAGCAGGUGCUGUUUUCAGCUGCAAAGGUUGGCAGAAGUAUGUGUCUGUUGAAUGCGUUGGUCCAACACCUGAGAUGUUUGCCCUCAGCUGCCGGUUGGUUUCAGAGCUGCUUUCCACGAACUCUGCCCUAGGGCACUUAAACACAGACCUGCUAAAAGAGUGGAGAGGAAAGGAAGAACACAAAAUUCAUUCUGGAUUUGUUCCAUCCAGAAUUAAGUUGUUGGUAAAUGGGUAGCACAGCUGGUCUUGGGUAACAUCAAUAGGUUAAUGAUCAUUUCUGUGAGUACUUAUACAGUAACAUAUGAUUAUAACAUCUAGACUAAAAUGAAUUUAAUAGAGAACCCAAAAAUAAUCAGAGCAACCCUCAUUGCAUUUUGGAU
ensembl:lncRNA